rnacentral:rRNA from 1 species
AGUAAUGCCUAGGAAUCUGCCUGGUAGUGUGGGACAACGUUUCGAAAGGAACGCUAAUACCGCAUACGUCCUACGGGAGAAAGCAGGGACCUUCGGGCCUUGCGCUAUCAGAUGAGCCUAGGUCGGAUUAGCUAGUUGGUGAGGUAAUGGCUCACCAAGGCGACGAUCCGUAACUGGUCUGAGAGGAUGAUCAGUCACACUGGAACUGAGACACGGUCCAGACUCCUACGGGAGGCAGCAGAU